rnacentral:piRNA from 1 species
UACUUACCGUACUCACCCUGUCGACAGACC